GAGCUUAUCAUAUCGAGAUGUAUCGAGUAACCGUAUAUGUAUACAUAAUAUUACUACUCUUUGUACCGUAUCCAAACAGUAAAGUAAGUAGGUGAGUAUUGUAUUCUUUGGUAAGUACCUAGACCGUAUCAUAUCGGAGAACUAAAACUAGACAUCUGCGGUCAUCCUUUAAAAACUUGUCGAUGGUUAUGAGUCGUUACUUCAUCUUUACAUCUAAACAGGCUGACAGUUGACAUUGCAAAUCACCCGUAAAUUAGUAAAAACAUGGAACUCUAAAAUUUCCGAAUAAACCGAUAAAAUGAAACAAACUAUAUGGAAAGGGAUUUCUGGUCCUCCCCAUUGAAAUGUCUUCUCGAGAUGAAACUCCCGCAUGGCUCCCGAUAGUCGGCAUAGGCAUCGCCGUGGUAGCGGCCGGCAUACUCUACAAACUGUUCUCUAGUAGAAGUAGCAAACCUAAUCCGUUCUGCCUGCAACCCGGCAGCUUACGUAUUUCCAAAAAGGAAAUGCAAAGACUGGGUUUUACUAGCGACGACAAAAUAUUACCCCAACGAACAUUUAAUUUCAAGAUUUAGAUUUAGAGACCUACAGCCUUGGCAACAAUAAAUCGUAAAGCAAAGAGUUAAUGCUUGCCGUAAACAUAUGAGUCUGCACCGCCAGUUGUUAGUGCAAGAUUGUGUCGUGUGUCGAGUUUUACAUAGCUGUUAAGUCAAAUGAAUUACUUUAUUUUAUGCAGGGUACAAUCAGCAUUAAAUACAUAGUGGCAGCUAAAGUUGCCAAAUAUAACGACAAUAUAACCUACCAUUAUUUCUAUGGUAACAAAGAUGUUUAUUUUUUGGUCACUUUGGUUGUAACUAUCUAUUUGAUGCUGACUGUACACCCAGCUGCAAAAGUGCAUACACACUUCAUGAAUUACUUUCAUUUAUAAAGUGGGUAUGCACUUUUACAGCUCUUUGUAAAUAUAAAUAGGUACUGACCUAAUAUCGACGGUGAAAUUCUUAUAAUUAUAUUUUAAACAACAGGGAAUCACUUAAAAUUCGAACAUAUGAAUGUACUAGCUCUAACAUUUUAUGAUGUACGAAUUUUAUAAAAUUAUUUAUUUGAAUAGUAAGAAUUAUAACAAAUUUCGUUUUUUAUGGUACUUAAAUACGGCUACCCUUCUCAGGGGGUUGGUAAGGAAGUCGCGCGGUCAUGUAGAGGGAUAUGUCGCAGAGGUUUGAGACUAAAGGACGUCACACACGGCGAAGAUACUAUAAUAUUUUAUCUUAAGAUAAAGUAUCGCUCGCUAUACAGUUUGUCUGAAACCUUUUUUGUUAAGAUGCGAAGAUAUCAUCUUAAGAUACGAAAUAUAUCUUAACAUAUGCUAUCUUAAGAUACAAAAUAUAUCGUAAGGACCUUAUACCAACAUUAUACAAACGGCGAAGAUACUAUAAUAUUACACUAUCUUAAGAUAUAAUAAUAUUUUAUAUCCAGGCAUCUUAAGAUCAGAUAUUGGAGUAUCUUUACCGUGUGUGACGCACUUUUUUUAUACUCUAUAGUCUCCGUAGCUUAUGUACGCCCCCCCCCCCACUCGUUGAGCUCUGGCAACCUUACUCACCGGCAGGAACACAAUAUUAUGAGUAGGGUCUAGUGUUAGUUGGCUGCUGUUUUCUGUAAGGUGGAGGUACUUCCCCAGUUGGGCUCUGCUCUAGAUCUGGAAUGACAUCCGCUGUGCUGUGCUCUACCACACAAAGCGAGAUGACAUUCACAAUGCCCAUACCUCUCUUUUGGACGUAGUUGGCUAUGCGUAGUUGGGUUUGGCUGUUGCCUGGAGUGGUCAUUUCUCCAUACAAACGUACUCGACUGUUUCCUCCGUUGUUUUUGAAGCUAGAGCGAUUAUUGCUUUAACACAGAUUAUUGUUAUUAAUAUCAGUGUCGGACUGUUUUGCUUUUUUUGAUAUUUUUGUUUUUUAAGACGCUAGUGCACUUCAAAUAUUCGCAAAAACGGCCUAAUUUACUAAGCCGCAAAGAGAUUGCCGCAUGGUAAUUAGCCUAAAACAAACAGUCCGACACAGAUGAAAGUUUUGGAGGAGGAAACGGUCGAGUGGGAACGCAGGAUUUUUCGCCUUACCUGACGUUGUCCUUAUCGCACUAGUUUUAGGAGCCACUUCCAUUAGCGUCUUAAAUACUUAAAUCUCGGCUCCCGUAUCCUCUUAAAACUAGUUUAUUAAUUAUUAAUAAGUACUUAAUCCAAACUUCGUGCAGCGAAGCCUUCAGCUAGUUCAUAGAUGGCCAUAAUAAAUGCUUACCAACCGCCUCAGUUAACCCUUUUCCAGGCCGCACAAAUCUACAAGGUUUUCCCAAAAAACCUUAAUAUAUUCCAAUUAAUCCAGCUUUGAUGAUUCAUUUGAAGACAACUAACAUUUCCUGAAAGUGUAAUCUAAUUUGAACCUUAAAUCUGAAAGCUAAAGUUGAAAUUCUAUUAGCGCGUAUGAGGUCGAUAAAUCGUACUAUGCCUGGAAAAAGGUUAAUCAGUAGACCUAUAGCAGCCGACUCCUAAUGUGUUAUAACUCGCAAAUAAGUAGAAAAUAAAACAAUUUUGAAAUUCAUACAUGAUAAUGUAUUUGGAACAUCGUAUCUUACCAUAAUAAUUAUAUUAUAAAUUAGCUGACGAACUUCACUGAUACAAAAUAUAUUAU